UAUGUGUGUCCAUGUUACAUGUGUUUCUCUACAUGUAACCUAGUCACACGUAUU
rnacentral:pre_miRNA from 1 species